AAAGUUUGAAGAAGGAAGAUCACAAACCAACAAGGCAAGUACUGCGUGGAGUAAGACUCCCAGCAAAGUAGGGCAUGAGCAUUUUCACCGAGAGCCACAUGGAAAGAAAAGUGAGGGACAGCUCAGCUGCAUCAGUUUGUUUUGAAAUCUCACUGUAAAUAAAUGUCAUCAAGCAUCUAACCCCAUCUUUCCUGCUCAGAUGAGAGAAAGGUACUACUCAGUACGUUAGAGGAGGAAACUUCUUUUAUUUUUUGUCUGUGAAGUCUGCUGCUGUUGCUAAGUCGCGUCAGUCGUGUCCGAUUCUGUGCGACCCCAUAGUCUGCAGCCCACCAGGCUCCCCCGUCCCUGGGAUACUCCAGGCAAGAACACUGGAGUGGGUUGCCAUUUCCUUCUCCAAUGCAUGAAACUGAAAAGUGAAAGUGAAGUCGCUCAGUCGUGUCUGACUCUUCUCGACCCCAUGGACUGCAGCACACCAGGCUCCUCCGUGGGAUUUUCCAGGCAAGAGUGCUGGAGUGGGGUGCCAUUGCCUUCUCCGUCUGUGAAGUCUAUAUGAUAUGAAAUAUUCAUUAAUAACCAAGUAACUCCAUUCAUCCAAGUGUAGGGAGGGACCUACAUGAGUAGAGGAGAACAGAUUCUAUAAUGUUGACAAAUAAGUGGUUUUCCCUGGAGAAAGUAUAUCUCAGAAAUUACAUCUUCUGAACCACUAUGGAACAGAAAUCUCUUCGAGUGGGAGAAUUUAAUUCAAACUGAAACUUUAAAAUAAGAACUACUUACAAAAAAAAAUGAUUGAGACAGUUAUUAUCUAUAGUUAAGGAUCAGCUUAAUAUAGGUGGGGAGAGGGGGGAAUUUCAAUAACUGAAAAGGACUGAGGAAAAGGGCAAAUAGGAGGCCCCAUCCCGAGGAGUUCCUCUGUGUCCACAGGAGUUGCCAGUGUCAGUGGAAACUGAUACAGUGAAACUGAUUCUAACAGGAAACUAGAGCCUUUAAAUGCAGCCCUGAAUCAAAUCAGAUCUGGGAGCUUCUCCCCCAGGCCAAGUGGAAAUCAGCCAAGGAUCAGAUCCAGCCUUCAAAACCGUCCUCUUUUUUUUCCCCCCUCUUCACUGUCACUUCCUUAACUGCUAUUAGCAUUUUACCCAAACCUGAUGAUGUGUUUUGAGUGGGGAGAGAGUUUCCAUUAACUCUCUGUCUCACCAUCACUAAAUUUAGC
ensembl:lncRNA